GGAUGCGUGGCGCAGUGGUAGCGCGUCUGCUUUACAUUUCUUGUGCGCAGUCGGUCGUAGGUUCGAACCCUGCCGCAUUCA